rnacentral:rRNA from 1 species
GUGAGCGAGGUGAGAGAGGGCGGGGGAAGGCGUUGGGUGGGAGGUUGGGCGAGAAUGAUUGGGGGGAAAGAGGUUGUGGGCGGUGUGUGGGGGCUGCAGUGAAAAGCCGGGGCUCAACCCCGGACUGGCUGUGGGUACGGGCAGACUAGAGUAUGGUAGGGGAGACCGGAAUUCCUGGUGUAGCGGUGGAAUGCGCAGAUAUCAGGAGGAACACCGAUGGCGAAGGCAGGUCUCUGGGCCAUAACUGACGCUGAGAAGCGAAAGCAUGGGGAGCGAACAGGAUUAGAUACCCCGGUAGUC